CUUUGUUUCAAUCCUAAACGGAGAACACGAGGUUGCAACCACCACCAACGAUUUUAAUGACCAUACUCAUACCAACAACGACCAUGGCUAAGAAGGUCACUGCAAAAUGCCAGAGGAAGGUGUUUUCUAGUGGAGAAUCAAUAGGAGGAUCGACAACGGAGAAGGCGUCUUCUUUCGUUUUUUGGCGGAGAAGCAAUCGAUGACGACAAUGGCUCGUCCUGUGUCAAGAUUGCUGGCGGAGAAGGCAUUUUUCUAUCCCUCGAGAAGCAAUCAGAGGAUCGACGUCGGCGGAUUCACAAAGCUCAAAGGCUCUUCCUGUGAUUUCGGUGACUCAGCCUAAUAGAUAUGCAUUUCCUAUAUGUUACAAGUUGAAGUAAGAUGGACGGUGGAAGAGACAACAAAGAUGAGUCUAAUGUAAAAGGGCUACUUUCACAACUUGCUGGAUAUGCUGGAUAUGCUGCUGGACACUACCCACAGGUGAAUAAAGGGCAACGGAGUUUGUCCCCUGCAAACGGCAAACGGCAACCGGCGGUGACGGCGGGUGGCCGGCGGUGGUGGUCAGUGGCGGGUGGCUAGAUAUGGACAUGUGUCAUAGUAUGCUUGUCUUAGAAUGAGUGACAUUGUGUGUAAUUUUGAUAUCUUUUAAUGAUAUUUUUGUAAAAUUAGGUACUACAUUUUGGUCUUUGGCCUUAUGCUAAUUAGAUAAAUUGUAUUCCUAUAUUCCAAAUUAGUAAACUAUAUUUUGUUUUAACAGUCCCGAUCUCUUGGACCACAGGAGUCCAAGAGAUUGUGGUCA